rnacentral:lncRNA from 1 species
GACAACUCAAAUACGAUUUAAGAACUAAUUUCAUAGAGAUGAUAAUAACUCAUCAGAGGAGUAGUCAAGAUCACAAGCAUAAUCACAAACACAAAGGUCACGACCCCAACAAUAUCCAAAAGCAAAUUCCCCAUACACCUUCAUACAGUCCUCAUAGCAUUUCAGCUCGUGACAUUCCAACCCAUAUAUCGCAGUGCUACAGUUCAUGGGUUUGGUGAUCAUUGCUGCCGGCAACGAAAGUCCUGACAUAAAGACAAAGGGUUUUUUGUUACAUAUGCUAAUGAAACAAUAUAAAAAAAACAAAUCUAAACUCUUAGAUGCUAUAUGGUUCAUGAUGUGUCAUCAAAAUCUAUAACUAUCGAGAAGGAUCUCCCACUAGCCAUCCUCCUAAAUCCGUGCACAUAAUUUACUCUAAAUUGUGUAAACCACAAUUAGCUCUCCUCUCAAAACUUCUACUUAAAACGACAUAUGUAUUAACAAUGCAUAAUAUAUAAACAGUUUUCCAAUAAUUCGAACUAUUGACAUGUAAUCCUACAUAACAACCUCCUCCCUCUCAUCCUAACAUAAGAAAAAUGAAUUUGAAACAUUAGGUUUUACCAUGGAAGAAGAAGAGCACCCACAAAAUGAUUGACAAAAAUGAAGUAUUUUUCAUGUUUUUUU